CAGCUCAGGGCAAAACUGGAGGAUAUGCAUACUUGAAGGUUUCCACAUAUAGAAACAUCAAGCCACUUUGUGGGUAAGCAUCAAGCCGAGAAUGCGAAAAAGUCCCGGAUGUGUUCUCGCGCCGCCCGUUUUAUCGAGCAUGCAUCGGUGGUGACUUGUGUGGACUUGGUACAGCUAAAUAUCCCAGAAUGCAUUUCGUCCAAAACUCAAACGCGGCAAUGGCGGACGAGCAGGGCUAAGG